rnacentral:lncRNA from 1 species
UUAUCCUGAUUUCCUAGUCAUGACCAUGUUAGUACGAGAAUUUCCUCUGAGCACGCUGACACACUAGGACACGAAUUUCUUAAAUGGGUGCGUAGAUUUUCUUACUUGUUGCUUACUAUUUUAAGUAGUCCUAAAUUCCAGGAAUCCGUUCUUCUGUUUACGACUAGUUAGCACCUCCACAUUCCAUGGCGUUUUUCACAGUGAGCAAAAUUUAUGACAAUAUCAAAAGACAGAAGUCUGACGAAACUGGAAACCCCACAGUCCAUGCAGAGAAGGUUUUGCUAUCUCUCUUCCCUACAGGAGAAUCGUUCAUUAGGGUUUCAACAGUUUUAACGAAAGACCAAGCUUUCCUAUUGCGCAUAUUACGCAUGUUUUUUAAACAAUCCGUAGACGGUUGAAUGUAUGUCAUGACAGAAGCUGAUAAGUGUUGCGAAGAUGCCGCAAAACUCCGCUUCACUCUUCUAGCAGAGUCCUUUUGCUUUGUAAUUGAAAGUUGAUAAUGGAUAGAUUCCAAGCAUGGUGGAUAGAUGGAUACCAGUUGUAUUCAGGGGUAGAGGAUCGUGACAGAAAUUAGCUGCCUCUACAAUGCUCGAUAACUUUAUUAUGAAAUUUAGGGAGCGGUUCCAACUUAGGUGGGCGCUGAUAAUCUCGUCCGCGUUUGUAGUCUUCGGCCCCUUUUCUCUUGUUCAAUGUUUUAUUCGAUAGUUUUCUUGGCUAGAACACACCUAGUGGGAGGCCCUGAAUAUUGAACAUCGAAGCACAAAGUCACGAAGUAUAUGGUUCAUGGGGUUUGCAGAAUCAUUCGCUCGCAUGUGAGUAUAAGUUCUACUUCAUACGGUAGUUUUAUGGAAUAUCUUGAUCUAAUCUGAGACAAUAAGGAGGGUCUUUCGUAAUUUAAUUUCAUCUCUUUCAGGAGGCCUCGAGGAUUACGACGAGUUCCACAAUCCACGAACUAAGCGGGACAUGAAUAAGGUUGUCUUUGGUGGUGAUGCUGGAGCGGAAGUGGCUGAUAUGCGUCAUUCAUAUUUUUUCCUGUCUAUGCGGUUGCGUUGGUGAUCAUCUCGAGCUUAUCCGGUCUUUCGGUAUAUACAUAUAUGCGCUUGCUUGUGUGGGGUUCAGCGAAUUUAGGAUCCAUUGGUUGUGUUGUUCAGGAAAAUUCAAGUUACAUGAACGUUGAAUAUACCAACAGUUGUGAUCCAGUAUACUUUGCAUUGGUGUCAACUUGUAGGAUUAUUCUUUCCUAUGCACGCGAUCUGCUGUGAGAAUAUUGAUGAAUGCUACAAAGCGCUUGAGUUAAUUCUUUUGGGCCAUAGCUGAUUUCUUGCAGACAUGUGUAAGCGGAAACCUUCGAAUUUGUGAAAAUUACUCUGGUCUUGUACUUCUUUCACUUGCUCUUGGGAGAGUCCAUUACCAAAAUGAUAAUGAUUUGAUUUGAUUAUUACUCCAAUUCGGCUUUCACGCAAUCCGUGUGAUCAGGGACUUAGAUUGAUUCGUCCAUGUGGAGGCAGGAGAAGAAGAAUCGCCUGACAUGAGACUGGUUAAGCAAAGCGCAUAGGAACCAAAUGUACCUUCGCUGGGUUAGGAAUUAGGACCUCACGAGGUGGUUCAUCCAGCCCCUCUGAGACGGGACAAUACCAAUUGGAAGCUUGUUCAACCCUUCAACAUUCUUGCGACAUUUGGCAUCGUUCAAAAUGUGAAUUCUUUUACAGGAUAUGAAUGCUCUAGGUCUUCUAGAAGUGUUCACGGAUUCCCACAAUCCACACUGAAUGCUCAGUGUCUACUUCGGUUUACCGAUGGGGGAUACCAUCUCUGCAUUUCAGCUCCUGUAACUUGGCGAUAUUAUCCAAUUCCUACCAUUGGUCUUGCUUCUUCAGCAACGGAUUUCUUCCAGACCCCACCCAUGAAAUAUCAUAAUAUUGUCUACUUGAAGACAGUUA